rnacentral:lncRNA from 1 species
CGACACGAAAUACGAGAUACGAUACAUUUUUAACACAAUGAUACAAUAAGUUUCAAAAAGUUAGAAUCUGUACACGACAUAAACCCGUUAAUAAAAUAAAAUAUUAUUAAUAUAAUAAUAUACAUAUUUAUUAUAUAUUAAAUAUUAAUUUUGAUAAAAUAUUACUAUAUUUUUUUUAUAUUAAUGAAUGUUAGUAAAAUUUUUAUUGAUAGUUUAUAUAUAUUAAAAAAAAAACUCUCCAUUAUACAUAAUUUAUU